UGCUAGAUCUUGUUAUGUAAUGCUUUAAUAAAUAUGUCUCUUACUAUAUCAGCAAACUUUAAAAAAUAUUUCCCCACUAUAUUUUAGUAUACUUGGUUUUCUUUGUAGCUCAUUUUAUGAUCUAAAAACAUUAUUCUGAGAAGGGAGCCCUAAACUUCACUGGGCUUCACUAUGGCAUAAAGAGAUUAGGAACCCCUGCUAUAGAACGUGCUAUGCUGGACUUAGAUGCAGGGCAUUAUGGGAAGGUGAAGAAAUCCGAGGACAAAUGAGGCUAAGGAUGACCUGUGCUUGGGCAGUCUCCAAGACCACUGAGUGGCUGUUUGCCUGGAUAGUAGAAGUGAUAAGAGGAGAGAGGUGCACUCCUAGAAAUAAUAUCGCUGAAUAUAGGGUAUCUGUAGGGAUAUGGAGGGCUCUUGACUGGUCCACUUAGCUAUAUGACAAGAUUCAUAUAAGAAUUGCAUUUUAUCUUUUAGAUUUCAUCGUUUCUUGGAUGUUAACAGCCACAAAGUAGAAAAGACAAUAGAAGGAAUUUAUGAAAAAUUCAUCAUUCAUUCUGAUCUCAGCAAAGCUGCUAGUUGGAAGAGAGUAACUGAAGAAUUUCUAAAUGCAUCACUUCUGAGCAUAAAGGAAAUAAAG